GAUGAACGCUGGCGGUAUGCUUAACACAUGCAAGUCGAACGGGAUGCUUAGGCAUCUAGUGGCGGACGGGUGAGUAACGCGUGAGAAUCUGGCUCCAGGUCGGGGAUAACAGUUGGAAACGACUGCUAAUACCGGAUGUGCCGAGAGGUGAAAGAUUUAUUGCCUGGAGAUGAGCUCGCGUCUGAUUAGCUAGUUGGUGGUGUAAGGGACCACCAAGGCGUCGAUCAGUAGCUGGUCUGAGAGGAUGAUCAGCCACACUGGGACUGAGACACGGCCCAGACUCCUACGGGAGGCAGCAGUGGGGAAUUUUCCGCAAUGGGCGAAAGCCUGACGGAGCAAUACCGCGUGAGGGAGGAAGGCUCUUGGGUCGUAAACCUCUUUUCUCAAGGAAGAAGAAAGUGACGGUACUUGAGGAAUAAGCAUCGGCUAACUCCGUGCCAGCAGCCGCGGUAAUACGGAGGAUGCAAGCGUUAUCCGGAAUGAUUGGGCGUAAAGGGUCUGCAGGUGGAACUGAAAGUCUGCUGUUAAAGAGUUUGGCUUAACCAAAUAAAAGCGGUGGAAACUACAGAACUAGAGUGUGGUAGGGGCAAAAGGAAUUCCUGGUGUAGCGGUGAAAUGCGUAGAUAUCAGGAAGAACACCGGUGGCGAAAGCGUUUUGCUAGACCAUAACUGACACUGAGGGACGAAAGCUAGGGGAGCGAAUGGGAUUAGAUACCCCAGUAGUCCUAGCCGUAAACGAUGGAUACUAGGCGUGGCUUGUAUCGACCCGAGCCGUGCCGGAGCUAACGCGUUAAGUAUCCCGCCUGGGGAGUACGCACGCAAGUGUGAAACUCAAAGGAAUUGACGGGGGCCCGCACAAGCGGUGGAGUAUGUGGUUUAAUUCGAUGCAACGCGAAGAACCUUACCAAGACUUGACAUCCUGCGAAUCCUGGUGAAAGCUGGGAGUGCCUUAGGGAGCGCAGAGACAGGUGGUGCAUGGCUGUCGUCAGCUCGUGUCGUGAGAUGUUGGGUUAAGUCCCGCAACGAGCGCAACCCUCGUUUUUAGUUGCCAGCAUUAAGUUGGGCACUCUAGAGAGACUGCCGGUGACAAACCGGAGGAAGGUGAGGAUGACGUCAAGUCAGCAUGCCCCUUACGUCUUGGGCUACACACGUACUACAAUGCUACGGACAGAGGGCAGCAAGCCAGGGAUGGCAAGCGAAUCCAGAAACCGUAGCUCAGUUCAGAUCGAAGGCUGCAACUCGCCUUCGUGAAGGAGGAAUCGCUAGUAAUUGCAGGUCAGCAUACUGCAGUGAAUUCGUUCCCGGGCCUUGUACACACCGCCCGUCACACCAUGGAAGUUGGUCACGCCCGAAGUCAUUACCCCAACCGAAAGGAGGGGGAUGCCUAAGGUAGGACUGGUGACUGGGGUGAA
rnacentral:rRNA from 1 species